UACGUAGGGUGCAAGCGUUGUCCGGAAUCAUUGGGCGUAAAGCGCGCGUAGGUGGCUUCGUAAGUCCGUUGUGAAAGUCAAAGGCUCAACCUUUGAAUGCCGAUGGAUACUGCGAAGCUAGAGUACGGAAGAGGCGAGUGGAAUUCCUGGUGUAGCGGUGGAAUGCGCAGAUAUCAGGAGGAACACCAAUAGCGAAGGCAGCUCGCUGGGACGUUACUGACGCUGAGGCGCGAAAGCGUGGGGAGCAAACAGG
rnacentral:rRNA from 1 species